rnacentral:lncRNA from 1 species
AACACACAUAUUAGCACCAAGAUUGCUGGAACUUAGUAAGUUUCUUGCUUUAUGUUCCUGUUAACCUAAUUAGGAGUUAGUUACAACAUAAAACAAUGGAGUUGGAACAUAUAGUCUAACUUAAGAAAAGUGAGUUGAAUGGAGCUUUGUGAUCGAUUCACAUCAUCCCAAAGAAUGGAGCUCAACAAAUGUGGCUUAACCACAAAAGUUUAUGCCUGUCCCGCCACUCUUCAUGUCAAAAAAAUGUUAAGUAUGUCACAUAACCUACCAUUAAUAAUGUUACUCUGAAGUUGACUCAUUUAAUAUUUAAUUUGAAUAUAACCGAGUAUUAUAGGCAAUAGAGCUAAUUCACCCACGUUUCUAUUUUAUACCCAAGGAAAAACAUAAAUAAGCAUGUUCACAUGUUUCAAAAUUUUGCAUUAACAUGUGUGAAAAGUCAACUUGUUUAUGAAAAGAAUGUGAUUAAUUAGGGAAAAGGAUAUAGCUGUAAGUUUGUUCUACUAACUCUAACAUUAAUUCAACAAAAAAGAACUAUAACAUUAAUUAAUUUCCGUUAUCUCAACAAACUUAGAUAACGUAAUACAAUUUCUGGAAAGUUCGUAUCCUCUUACGGGAGAUUGAUUGAUAAUAUCCUAUGUGCUCCAUUUACUACAUUAAGAACAAUUCAAGAUAAAUAUUUCAUACAGUAAUUCAGUGUGCCCUACCUAAUGUGUUUACUCAGACAAAAAGCUUGUUUGUGAAACUAUUAUGAUACAAUUAUGAUGCAAUACAUUUUAACAACACAUAUUGACACAUAAUAUUAAGUGUUUUAAUAUGUUUCCCCUAUAACAAUCAACUUAAUGCAAAACAAUUUAAUGAACAUUAACUACUAUAUGUUAAAAUUUCAAUAUGAAUUAUCUAUAUAUACUCCUUUGUAUGAAAAGCACAAUUUUAGUAGAUAUGUCUCACAUGACAUUAACAUAGAGGACGCACUUUCAAGUGAGUUACAAACAAAAUAAAACCAAAAUAUACAAAGCAAGCACGUGCGUUGCAAGGAUUAGAAAGCUAGUGAGGAAGUGAAAGGCUGUUUUUCUAUUGGUACAGCAACAAUGAUGACAACAAAACUAAGAAGCUUUUCUGCCCCUAGGUUUGGCUUUACGAAUCUUCCUACGGUCGCUGCCCAUGUAUUCACAGACCUUCGCUCAGCAUGUUUCCAAAUCAUUUUUCAGUCGGAGUGGCUCUUCUCCAAGUUAUGAAAUCAUAUAUGAAGCCUGAUAAUUAUAUAAAACAACAAUGGUCUUUUUCUUUUUUUGAAAUAUUCUCAGUAAAUUCUAUUAGAAUUGUCACAUUUAGGAAUCUCUCUUUCUUUUGAAUUUUAGGAAUAUUAAGUAUGCACUAUUUAUGGCAGUUACCUUGUUGCAAACACAAGCUCUUUUCUUGUUGUGCAGUGGAUAUAUGGCACCAGAGUAUGCGAUGCAUGGUUACCUCACUGACAAAGCCGACAUCUAUAGUUUUGGCAUUGUUGCCUUAGAAGUUGUUAGUGGCCGGAGCAACAGUAGUUCCCAAAAAAAUGAGGAAUGCUUUUAUCUACUUGAUUGGGUAAUCAACUCUAUCAUUUCAAUUAUGAUCGUAUCCAUAUUUAAAUCUCUACUUGUGCUGUUGGAAAAUGGAUUAAGGAAGCGUGAGCAUAGUAUGUAAUUCCUCACAUGCACUUUUAAUUGUUGCAAAGGAGUGUUACAGUUACCAGCUAUUGAAACCUGCUUAACGAAUUGUCGUGCUGUUAAGUGCAAUUUGUCAUUUCAAAUUAAUCUAAUUCUUCUUAUUAUGUUGGUCUACACUGAAUUUUCAUGUAGAUUCUUUUUUUGGAUUGAAGAAAAUUCUAUUCCUUGAAGUUUGGGGUAGUUCAGUUUUAGUCUUUAUGUUUUUAUGCUUGAUGUUCAUACUCCCUGUAGUUCCAUUGGUGCCAAACAAGUCCUUCGACUACUAUUCAAUUUUGGCAAUUACUCUUAUAUUAAAAAAAAAUUCAAGACCAUGUCUUGACUAGAAUAUCCAUAUACUUUCGAUUGAGGUAGAACUUUUUUCACAUUCAUAUAAUUUUGAGUCCUUUAGUUAUAUUUUGUUUUGCUUUGAGUAAGCAAUCAUUAGUAGUCCCCGUUAAAUUUGAUUGUCACCUGAGUUGCAUAAUCAAGUAUUUCUUGUUAAACUAGAAUUGAGAGUAGAAGGCAAUGGAUGGUGUAAAACAUUUCAUGUAAUGACACUGACAAAUAAUUCUUGCUAAUAAAACUCAAUAAAAGCUGGCGAUUUUAAAGCAGUAUUGGUAAGUUUUUGGCAACCGGUGAACCAUUAGUAAGUGAUGUUGGAGUUUACCAACUUUUAAUCAAAAUCGGUAAAGAAAUCAUGUUUGAUCUGUAUUUGACUCAUUUGAGAUGAAAAACUAGUGGGUGCUUAUCAACUGCCUUUGUCACGUAAUAAUCAAGAGACAUAAUAUACUUCCUUCUGUUGUAGUUUUUAGAGCAUAUUUUGCAACUGAUCAGUACCUGAAGCUUGAAAGGGAAAUAUUUUCACUUUUCAUUUCCGUUUCUAGGUACGAGUUUUGAAGGAGAGAGGAAAUUUGAUAGAAUUGGUUGAUCAAAGGCUCGGUUGUCACUUUGACAAAGAGGAGGCGCUAGUAUUGACAAAGGUAGCUCUGAUGUGUACUAAUGCGACUCCAGCACUCAGGCCGCCGAUGUCAUCUGUGGUUAGCAUGCUUGAAGGCAAGGUUGCUGUUCCGGUGCUGGACUCUGGAGGCGCUGUCAUGACUGAGGAGAAAAUUGAGGCCAUGAGGAAGCAUUUUAGAGGUGACAAACAUCAGGCAGUUGGUGAGAAUAUCACCAAGAGUAUGUCCAUUGAUGGGCCAUGGAUUGGAACCACUUCGUCCACAUCCAAUACUUCUGGAUACUGAAUACUUCUGGAUACUGAUUGCUGACAGAAGAAAGAUUUGUUUUGUUCUAAGUAAAAUAGUUCCCCAAAGAACUAGGACUUUAUGAAGUUGUUCUAAGUAAAAUAGUUCCCCAAAGAACUAGGGCUUUAGCUCUUGAAUUUCUCUCCGAAGUCUCUCUUUCGCUUACAUUUGAAACUGAAGGUAUAGAUAAUAUAAAGAAAACAACGUGUUAUGCAGAGCAGUAAUUGUGUAUUGUGAACUCAUUAGUAGGGAAAGCCUGAAGACAAUAGUUUGUGGUUUGGUAGUUGUAUUUGAGCCGUUUCUUUCCAUAUUGUUAUUCAAACAGAGACGAUGUUGCGACUUUUUAUCUCUUCACACAAUAACGAUGCAGAUGGUUGCCACUGCAAGGGAGGGAAUGUAUUAUGGAAGUUCUUCAUUUGUUUGAAUGGCGAGAUGUGCGAAGUGGCACAUUCUUGCUCUGGACAUGUUUUGUUCACUAGCUUGACCCGUUAUAUGUUGCUACUCUAAAAAAAAUUCUUAGCAAACGCAAAUUUUUUCUGUCUUUAGUAUGGAUGAUGGUUGGCCAACUUCGUCUUUCCCAUCUUUGAGAAAUGAGGAAAGAGAAACUUGAUACUUGCAUGUCUACACAAUAUAUAUAUAUAUAUUAUCUGGAAAAAUUUGCAUGUCCAGUCACUAUUUCUUCUCGGUGGAUUACUACCUCAUCAGCUUACUUAUUCCAUUCCAUCAGUGGUUCUGUAUUUAUGAGUCAAUGCCCAAAACGUUCUUAGAUUAAUGUCAAAACAAUCAAACAAGUUGAAACCGAAAUCGAAACCUCAAUGGGUUCAGCAGAUCAUCCUAAGAUUUGAGAGGUGGGGGCCUAGUGAAUAUUGAUGAAGUUGACAUCCCACGAUGAAAAUUGUAGUGUUCCGCGUCAGAGGCGGGUGAUUUGCUGCUGCCACUACAACUACAACCGAGCAAAGCAAAACAGCAGAUUUACUGCAACUUCGUAAAUCCUGAUUCCUGUACCAGCGGACCUCCACAGAAAAUGGAAACCAAAUCCUGUAUCCUAAGUAACUAACCGAAAAAGUACAAAAAAGAAGGUGUUUAUUAAGGAGAAUCCGAUAAGCGCCUGUAUCUUAGUGGACCGUGACCUCUAGGAGUUAUUUUUUUACCCUUUCUUGUCAAAUUAAUACAUAGACUUGAUAUAAGUGGAAAAGAGUUAAUGCCAAGAAAUUGGCAAAGCAUAGAAAUAGGAACGCUUUUUCUUCAAAAGAAAUGGCAAACCACAUCUAUUCACAUUGCCCUUUUCUUUUGUUUUUGUACGUAAGGUAUAUUCCUAAACUUCGGAGCUCAUCUACAAGUAGUUUUGUGGGCCCCUAGUGGGCCCACCUGAGGAAAUCCCAUAAACUCAUAAAUCCCGAUUCAAAGGAGGGGAGUUUUGAAUUCUCCACCUCCCCAUUCCUCUUGGGAAUGGUAGCCACUAGAGCAAGCCUCAAUGGUUCCUCUCUUUGGAUGAUGACAUGUACCUUCAAAAUCCAAAUAAAGUUAGAAAAUACUGAGAUUAAAAACAUUUAAAUUGAAUUGGGAUAUUAUAAAGGAGUAGAGAUUUUACAUACAUGUGGUUAUUGUUAGCCUAAAGAAAAAAAUGUGAACUUGAUAUUUUAAGACAGGUCAUUAGACCCUUGCUCUCGUAUUCAUAUGCUGGAAAUCAUAUCUUUCUUGUCUAAUGUGAUAAAUUUUCCUACAUCUUACUCAUUCGACAAUUGGAUGAAGAUACUCUACCUGAAUCACACGUAUUCUUAUCUGUGUCCGAAUCAAUUCUUAAUCACGUUAAUGCAUGUAGCGAUAUAUUUGCAGUUGGAAUAUGAAAAGACAUUCAUGGAAGUAUCAUGUAGGCAUGAAAGAUUGACAUUUUCUUUGAACACGAUAAAUCAUCCCAUCCAUGGGGAAGUUUCUGAUCUCAAGAAAAAAUGGGACAUGGAAAUUUCAAAAAAGCUAAUAAGCAGAAAUUUCUCCUCCUUAAGUGCGAAAGCAAAAGCANNNNNNNNNNNNNNNNNNNNNNNNNNNNNNNNNNNNNNNNNNNNNNNNNNNNNNNNNNNNNNNNNNNNNNNNNNNNNNNNNNNNNNNNNNNNNNNNNNNNCCUUGCGACAGAUUAAGCUGCCACAAACAAUUUUGACGCUGCCAAUAAGAUAGGAGAAGGUGGUUUUGGUUCUGUAUACAAGGUAUGCUGGAAAAUUGGCAAGCCAAAUUCCCUCAACUCCCAACAGAAAAGAUAUGUAGAAAGCAGCAUUCAAUGUAACUCAAUUUUCACAGCAUAGAUCUGAUGCCAAAGUUGAAUUGCAGGGUUUUCUGUCAGAUGGCACCACUAUAGCAGUGAAGCAGCUUUCAUCCAAAUCACAGCAGGGAAAUCGUGAGUUCCUGACCAAGAUUGGGACGAUUUCUUCUCUUCAGCAUCCACAUCUGGUGAAACUCUAUGGAUGCUGCAUUGAAGGAAAUCAACUUUUGCUGGUUUAUGAGUACAUGGAAAAUAACAGUCUUGCUCGCGCUUUAUUUGGUAAUUUGAUAUCACAUUGUGCUUCACUGACUUCAGUUAAUGACGUGGCAAUAAAGCAGUGUUGAUGUCUUCUGAUACAAUUGAAGGUCCUGAAGAAUUUCAGUUAAAGUUGGAUUGGCGGACAAGACACAAGAUACGUCUGGGUAUUGCCAGGGGCUUGGCAUAUCUUCAUGAAGAAUCAAGGCUGAAGAUUGUGCAUAGAGACAUUAAAGCUACUAAUAUUUUACUGGAUAAGGAUCUCAACCCUAAAAUAUCAGAUUUUGGUUUAGCAAAGCUUGAUGAGGAAGACAACACACAUAUUAGCACCAAGAUUGCUGGAACUUAGUAAGUUUCUUGCUUUAUGUUCCUGUUAACCUAAUUAGGAGUCAGUUACAACAUAAAACAAUGGAGUUGGAACAUAUAGUCUAACUUAAGAAAAGUGAGUUGAAUGGAGUUUUGUGAUCGAUUCACAUCAUCCCAAAGAAUGGAGCUCAACAGAUGUGGCUUAACCACAAAAGUUUAUGCCUGUCCUGCCACUCUUCAUGUCAAAAGAAUGUUAAGUAUGUCACAUAACCUACCAUUAAUAAUGUUACUCUGAUAUUGACUCAUGUAAUCUUUAAUUUGAAUAUAACUGAGUAUUAUAGGCAAUAGAGCUAAUUCACCCAUGUUUCUAUUUUAUACCCAAAGAAAAACAUAAAUAAGCAUGUUCACAUGUUUCAAAAUUUUGCAUUAACAUGUGUGAAAAGUCAACUUGUUUAUGAAAAGAAUGUGAUUAAUUAGGGAAAAGGAUAUAGCUGUAAGUUUGUUCUACUAACUCUAACAUUAAUUCAACAAAAA